UGUGUAGGCGGUUCUUUAAGUUUGGUGUGAAAUCUCCCGGCUCAACUGGGAGGGAGCGCCGAAUACUGAGGGACUAGAGUACGGGAGAGGAAAGUGGAAUUCCUGGUGUAGCGGUGAAAUGCGUAGAUAUCAGGAGGAACACCGGUGGUGUAGACGGCUUUCUGGACCGUAACUGACGCUGAGACACGAAAGCGUGGGUAGCAAACAGGAUUAGAUACCCUGGUAGUCCACGCCCUAAACGAUGCAUAUUUGGUGGGGGCAGUUCAUUCUGUCCGUGCCGGAGCUAACGCGUUAAAUAUGCCGCCUGGGGAGUACAGUCGCAAGGCUGAA
rnacentral:rRNA from 1 species